GCACUCACUUUAGUAGUCCAUGGACUGAAAUGGGAACAAUACAGAGAUUAGCAUGGCUCCUGCACAAGGAGACACACACAUUCAUGAAGCAUCUCACAUUUUU